rnacentral:misc_RNA from 1 species
GUCCAUAUCAAGAAAGUAGCAAGAACACAUUCAACCAAAUGGACCAAGCAUAUUAACAAUGGUUCCACCUGGAUGGAAAAACCAGACUUGUGAUAGUUCCAAAUGAGUACAUAGAGCUGACUCAUCAAUCACGUUCUGCCCACUCACUUAUAGUGAGCUACCAAGUAUAUGCGACCGCAACUCAAGCUGUAUUCACCUAUCACUUCAAGGCUCACUCUUUGUGGCCG